rnacentral:tRNA from 1 species
GUUAGUGUGGCAGAGCCCGGUAAUUGCAUAAAACUUAAAACUUUAUAACCAGAGGUUCAAAUCCUCUCUCUAACA